rnacentral:sRNA from 1 species
AGCAGCCGCGGUAAUUCCAGCUCCAAUAGCGUAUAUUAAAGUUGUUGCAGUUAAAAAGCUCGUAGUUGAACCUUAGGCCCGUGCGGGCGGUCCGUCCUCUGGGCGAGCACUGCCUCGUCGCGGGUCUCACCUUCUGGCGAGCGUGGAUGCCAUUCAUUUGGUGUCUGCGGGAACCAGGACCUUUACCUUGAAAAAUUAGAGUGCUCAAAGCGGGCUCUUACGCUUGAAUACAUUAGCAUGGAAUAAUGAAAUAGGACGACGGUUCUAUUUUGUUGGUUUUCGGGAUUGUCGUAAUGAUUAAUAGGGAUAGUUGGGGGCAUUCGUAUUCAAUUGUCAGAGGUGAAAUUCUUGGAUUUAUUGAAGACGGACUACUGCGAAAGCAUUUGCCAAGGACGUUUUCAUUAAUCAAGAACGAAAGUUAGGGGAUCGAAGACGAUCAGAUACCGUCGUAGUCUUA